GAUGAACGCUGGCGGCGUGCCUAAUACAUGCAAGUCGAGCGAACAGAUGAGGAGCUUGCUCCUCUGACGUUAGCGGCGGACGGGUGAGUAACACGUGGAUAACCUACCUAUAAGACUGGGAUAACUUCGGGAAACCGGAGCUAAUACCGGAUAAUAUAUUGAACCGCAUGGUUCAAUAGUGAAAGACGGUUUUGCUGUCACUUAUAGAUGGAUCCGCGCCGCAUUAGCUAGUUGGUAAGGUAACGGCUUACCAAGGCAACGAUGCGUAGCCGACCUGAGAGGGUGAUCGGCCACACUGGAACUGAGACACGGUCCAGACUCCUACGGGAGGCAGCAGUAGGGAAUCUUCCGCAAUGGGCAAAAGCUUGACGGAGCAACGCCGCGUGAGUGAUGAAGGUCUUCGGAUCGUAAAACUCUGUUAUUAGGGAAGAACAAAUGUGUAAGUAACUAUGCACGUCUUGACGGUACCUAAUCAGAAAGCCACGGCUAACUACGUG
rnacentral:rRNA from 1 species